CAAGAAUUCGAACUUUUGGUUUA
rnacentral:snRNA from 1 species